AUCCAGUUGAUGAGUCCAAAAUAGGAUAAGACGUGUGUCCUGGAU
rfam:Schistosoma haematobium scaffold933_2, whole genome shotgun sequence.